CCAUGCAAGUCGAACGCAGUAGCAAUACUGAGUGGCAAACGGGUGAGUAUAAUGUGGGAAUCUGCCUUUUGGUUUGGAAUAACACGGGGAAACUUGUGCUAAUACCAAAUAAGCCCUUACGGGGAAAGUUUUAAUGCCGAAAGAUGAGCCCGCACUUGAUUAGCUAGUUGGUAAGGUAAAAGCUUACCAAGGCAACGAUCAAUAGCUGUUCUUAGAGGAAGACCAGCCACAUUGGGACUGAGACACGGCCCAGACUCCUACGGGAGGCAGCAGUGGGGAAUCUUGCACAAUGGGGGAAACCCUGAUGCAGCGAUGCCGCGUGAGUGAAGAAGGCCCUUGGGUUGUAAAACUCUUUCGUCGGGGAAGAAAAUGACUGUACCCGAAUAAGAAGGUCCGGCUAACUUCGUGCCAGCAGCCGCGGUAAUACGAAGGGACCUAGCGUAGUUCGGAAUUACUGGGCUUAAAGAGCUCGUAGGUGGUUAAAAAAGUUGAUGGUGAAAUCCCAAGGCUCAACCUUGGAACUGCCAUCAAAACUUUUUAGCUAGAGUGUGAUAGAGGUAAGUGGAAUUUCUAGUGUAGAGGUGAAAUUCGUAGAUAUUAGAAAGAACAUCAAAUGCGAAGGCAACUUACUGGGUCACUACUGACACUGAGGAGCGAAAGCAUGGGUAGCGAAGAGGAUUAGAUACCCUCGUAGUCCAUGCCGUAAACGAUGAGUGCUAGACGUUGGGAAUAUAUUUUUCAGUGUCGCAGCGAAAGCAUUAAGCACUCCGCCUGGGGAGUACGACCGCAAGGUUAAAACUCAAAUGAAUUGACGGGGACCCGCACAAGCAGUGGAGCAUGUGGUUUAAUUCGAAGAUACGCGCAGAACCUUACCAACGCUUGACAUGUUCGUCGCGAGACUAAGAGAUUAGUUUCUUCAGUUCGGCUGGACGAAACACAGGUGCUGCAUGGCUGUCGUCAGCUC
rnacentral:rRNA from 1 species